rnacentral:pre_miRNA from 1 species
AGCCUUCUAUAUUCGUGCUGAGAUUUGGUCACACACCAGACCAUAAGGGCGGAUGAGACUUCCAAGAUAAAUGAAUCA